GACGAACGCUGGCGGCGUGCUUAACACAUGCAAGUCGAACGGAAAGGCCCUGCUUUUGUGGGGUGCUCGAGUGGCGAACGGGUGAGUAACACGUGAGUAACCUGCCCUCGACUUUGGGAUAACUUCAGGAAACUGGGGCUAAUACCGGAUAGGAGCUCCUGCUGCAUGGUGGGGGUUGGAAAGUUUCGGCGGUUGGGGAUGGACUCGCGGCUUAUCAGCUUGUUGGUGGGGUAGUGGCUUACCAAGGCUUUGACGGGUAGCCGGCCUGAGAGGGUGACCGGCCACAUUGGGACUGAGAUACGGCCCAGACCCCUACGGGAGGCAGCAGUGGGGAAUAUUGCACAAUGGGCGGAAGCCUGAUGCAGCAACGCCGCGUGCGGGAUGACGGCCUUCGGGUUGUAAACCGCUUUCGCCUGUGACGAAGCGUGAGUGACGGUAAUGGGUAAAGAAGCACCGGCUAACUACGUG
rnacentral:rRNA from 1 species